rnacentral:rRNA from 1 species
GCGGCGUGCUUAACACAUGCAAGUCGAACGGUGAAGCCCUUCGGGGUGGAUCAGUGGCGAACGGGUGAGUAACACGAUGGGCAAUCUGCCCUGCACUCUGGGACAAGCCCUGGAAACGGGGUCUAAUACCGGAUAUGACCUUCCUCCGCAUGGGGGUUGGUGGAAAGCUCCGGCGGUGCAGGAUGAGCCCGCGGCCUAUCAGCUUGUUGGUGGGGUAAUGGCCUACCAAGGCGACACGGGUAGCCGGCCUGAGAGGGCGACCGGCCACACUGGGACUGAGACACGGCCCAGACUCCUACGGAGGCAGAGUGGGGAAUAUUGCACAAUGGGCGCAAGCCUGAUGCACGACGCCGCGUGAGGGAUGACGCCUUCGGUUGUAAACCUCUUUCAGCAGGGAAGAAGCGCAAGUGACGGUACCUGCAAAGAACACCGGCUAACUACGUGCCAUCAGCCGCGUAAUACUAGGGUGCAGCGUUGUCCGGAAUUAUUGGACGUAAAGAGCUCGUAGGCGGCCUGUCGCGUCGGAUGUGAAAGCCCCGGGGCUUAACCACGGGUCUGCAUUCGAUACGGGCAGGCUAGAGUGUGGUAGGGGAGAUCGGA